rnacentral:rRNA from 1 species
GGACGAACGCUGGCGGCGUGCCUAAUACAUGCAAGUCGAACGGUCUUUCUAUGGAAGCUUGCUUCCACUGAGAAGAUUGUGGCGAACGGGUGAGUAACACGUGGGUAACCUGCCCAUAAGAGGGGGAUAACAUCCGGAAACGGGUGCUAAUACCGCAUAGUUUUCUUGAUCGCAUGAUCGGGAAAGGAAAGACGGCCUUUGUGCUGUCGCUUAUGGAUGGACCCGCGGCGUAUUAGUUAGUUGGUGAGGUAACGGCUCACCAAGACGAUGAUACGUAGCCGACCUGAGAGGGUGAUCGGCCACAUUGGGACUGAGACACGGCCCAAACUCCUACGGGAGGCAGCAGUAGGGAAUCUUCCGCAAUGGACGAAAGUCUGACGGAGCAACGCCGCGUGAGUGGAGAAAGGUUUUCGGAUCGUAAAACUCUGUUGUCAGAGAAGAACAAGUUGGAGAGUAACUGCUCCAGCCUUGACGGUAUCUGACCAGAAAGCCACGGCUAACUACGUGCCAGCCGCUGC